rnacentral:lncRNA from 1 species
CUCCUUCUUCCUGUUAGAAUGCAGGGAUAUAGUGACAGUUACUUGACACAGCGGUUUAGUUGCAUUUCUCCAUACUUUAAAUCCUAGAGAAAUUUGUGAGUGCCUUAGCAGCUUGUGUUUUAAAGCAUUAACCUUUACUAAUAAACAUUGAAAAUUUUAGCAAUAAAUGUAAGUAUUAACGAAACAACUUGAUCAAAACCAGUUAAAGGAGGAAAACAAUACAUGUUGAAAACUUCAGCAAAGCUGCUUCUUGGCCUUUGCUCCAUAUAUCUGACGACCUUGGAAAGUGAUGACUUUAUAGCAUGUGACCACGUGGCUCUCACCACUGUGAGCUCUUCUGAAUUCAUUUGUAACAACUCAAGCUCUCCUAGUUCUCAGUGACUAACAAUCGGUCAACUUACCACCAAAGACGUCUACAAUCCACAUCUAAAUGAGAAUUUUGAGAGCCCUCAAAGCUUAGAAGUCAUAUUUAAUUAUUUAAUCACAG